rnacentral:rRNA from 1 species
UACGAAGGGGGCUAGCGUUGCUCGGAAUCACUGGGCGUAAAGGGUGCGUAGGCGGGUCUUUAAGUCAGGGGUGAAAUCCUGGAGCUCAACUCCAGAACUGCCUUUGAUACUGAAGAUCUUGAGUUCGGGAGAGGUGAGUGGAACUGCGAGUGUAGAGGUGAAAUUCGUAGAUAUUCGCAAGAACACCAGUGGCGAAGGCGGCUCACUGGCCCGAUACUGACGCUGAGGCACGAAAGCGUGGGAGCAAAC